GUCGACAUGGCCGCGCUGCGCUCACGGCUGCCGCCGGCAGCACCGCCCGCCGCCGAGCUCACUGCAGGCGGCCGUGCGCACAAGCGCCGUGCUGGUCCUCACUACUCUGCGGUGUUUCGGUAACGGAGUUCGGGUAACCAUCAGUAAAUCCUGCUGUUAGGAUACCUCCUGGAGAUUUCCUACAAAAACUUUCAGGGAUGACUACUUUGCGAAUGAGAGGAAUGCAUCAUUGUCGACUGCUAUGUGCCACAAACCAGCUGGGUACUUCCCUAGUAAUGAUUUCAUUUUCACAUUGCCCAAGUUGAGUUGCUUCUACUCAUUCAAAAAGAAGUCAUUCAAGUGGAGCACUGUCAACUGAACAGAGAUGGUAAAGCAAACACAAGGAAAGAGCAGAUGAAAGCCUGGCACAUUUCAGUGGGAAGUCAGGCCGCAUCCCACGUGGAUCUGAUUUUUCAAAUUCUGGAGUGUUCAUGGUAGAGAGAACCUCAUUUUACAGUGGCAAAAGAAAUGGGUGUAUUCAUUUUGGAGAAUUUCUGCGUGAAAGUCUUUUC